rnacentral:rRNA from 1 species
CACCCUCGGGUGACAGGGAGACAGGUGGUGCAUGGUUGUCGUCGGCUCGUGUCGUGAGAUGUCGGGUUAAGUCCCGCAACGAGCGCAACCCCUACGUUUAGUUGCUAACGCGUGAAGGCGAGCACUCUAGACGAACUGCCGUUGACAAACGGAGGAAGGUGGGGAUGACGUCAAAUCAUCAUGCCCCUUAUGUUCUGGGCUGCACACGUGCUACAAUGGCCGGUACAGACGGACGCAAAGCCGCGAGGCGGAGCAAAUCCGAAAAAGCCGGUCUCAGUUCGGAUUGCAGGCUGCAAUUCGCCUGCAUGAAGUCGGAAUCGCUAGUAAUCGCAGGUCAGCAUACUGCGGUGAAUACGUUCCCGGGCCUU